GCGGCCGCGGGGAGGGCCGGGGCGGUGCGGCCCGGCGCGGCCUUGCGCGGAUGUGGGAUCGCUCCCGGGGGCCGCGCCUCUCUCCGGCGCUGGGGUCGCGGGAGACGUCGUCGGGAGCUCAGUUUCUGGAGGCCCUUCCCCACCCGGCCUCUGCCUCCUCCACUCCCCCGGGCUGGACGGAACGGGGCCUAGCGCGGUGUGCGAGAAUGCCUUCGGGUUUUGUCGUGAUGGGGACAAGUUCACUUAGGCCAGUUGACUAAGAUCAAGCAAAGCUUCGUGAAGUUUCCCUUGGCCCCUACAGUGUUGGCGUCAUAGACAGGAUACUAAAGCUGCUCUACUUUUCUGGAAGCCACAGUCCAGGGAACCCAGGACCUGUCAAAGCAUCAGAAGGCAGCUGGAUCCAUGGGCUUGGCAGCCACAGUGAUCAUGAACUUCCGGCUAUGUCCUAGAGUCAUUUCUCUCUGAGGAUGUCAGGAGGAACCCCAAAAUGUCAUCAAGACACUGGCUGCAGGUCUAAACUCCAAUAAAAUCCAGGUGGGUUACAUCAAUUCAGACAUCUGGAUAAAAGGAUGAAUGAAACCAUGUACAUAAUACAGAACUAUGCAUGCCAGGAAAAGAAAUUAUACUGCCUAAAAGCUGCAACCUUCAUGACAUCAAAUCUAUUUUAACACUGGCUGGUUAUGUGAGGAAAAGGCUAAUAAAAAAAAAAAUUCUGGCUGACCAAAGAA